GGUCAAUUCAAUAAAGGUCGAGGGCAAGAUCCGCAUUUUAGUUAGAUAGAAAAUGAAACCCAAAAAAGGCGUUUGAGUUAUAUUCGUUCCCUUCGCCUCAUCGUUCUCAGACGAACCCGGCGUUCCAUUCCCAUGGUCUUCCCUCUCCCGCUCUCCGUCUAGGGUUUAUGGUUCAAACCCUGAAAUAAACGAACAAUCUCGACCUGAAAAUUUCUCCACUUCCUGGUGAAUUGCUCAGCGUUCGAUCAAUUGCUUCCUUCUCUGAAAGAGUACUCGUUUUUCCCUCGUUCGGUGUCUUCUUCUACCAGGAAGAUGGAAAGGAAAUAUUGAAUGGAAUUACCACUGGGGUUUAGAUUUGCAUUUAGGAUGUGGCACUUGCAUGUGUGGAUUGCCAAAUUGUGGAUUGUUUGAUGUUUUUAGUUUCAUAAAUCCUACAAUCUGAAAUGUACGGACCAGGGAGUUACAGUAACCAGUUCAGGCCUGGCCCUCCUGUGCCGCCACCCACCUCAUUCCAUCAUGCACUUCCGCCACCCCCACCUGGUCAACAGGCCCUACCACCACCACCGCUACCUGGUCAGCAAGCCCCUCUGCCACCCACAACCAGUCACCAAGCUCCAUUACCACCACCACCACCUAGUCACCAUGUCCAUCCACCAUCUCUGCCUGGAAAUCACCCCCCUCCACCACCGCCACAUGGCCAAACCCACCCAUCCUACCAUCAUGGUCAGCAUUCCUCUCUGCCGCCUCCAAUUCAUCAAGCUCCCACGGCUGUCUCCUCAUCUACUAUCAUCCAACAUGGCCCUCCUGUGCCUGGUCCAGCUGUUCCCCUUGGGCCUUCACCUCCUUCAGUUCAACAUAUUAUGCCGCCGGCUGUUCACAUGCCUGCUCCCCAAGUGAUGAUAAACAUGGGUCAAUCUUAUGCAUCUCCACAGAUGGCUCAUGGGGCACCCAUGAUACCUCCCCCAUAUCCUGGUUCUCAGCAUCAUCCUCCAUAUCCUCCAUCCAUCACAGCUCAUCAUGGUCCACCACCUCCUCCUCCAGCCGCAAAUUCUCCAACCGUGCCUGCACCUCAACCUUCUUCUCAUAGGCCUAUGCUAUAUAGAUCACCUUCUGUUCCAUUUCCUCCUCCGCCAUCCUUUUCAGUUACACCCACAACAUUUAUGUCUUAUACGUGUACCCCUGUGCUGGAUAUACAUUCUACAUCUUCUUUGCCUCCACCACCACCUCCUCCUCUGCCACCAUCACCACCUCCACUGCCUCCUCCACCUCCACCUCCUUCUUCAUCUCCACUAGCUCUUCCACCAGACGCUUUUGAGCCACCACUGCUUGAUACCUCAAAGCAUGUCAUGGGAAAUAACCAAGCCUUGGACAGUGAACUGGAUAAUGAUUGUGCUGCUAAGCCAGUUCAGACAGAGGACUUGGCAGAGAGGCUUACAAUCACUUUUGAUAAUCCAUCGGCCUCUUUGGAAUUAAAAAGUGAUACAUGUCCUUCUAGUGGUUGGCCAAAUGAAGAAGGCCACAUGCAUGGGCAUGAAACUGCAGUAAAGGAUGCUGGUCAAGAAAUGAAAUGUGCUGACGAAUCACUGAAAGAUGUAGAAGCUUCAGAAGCAUCAUCACCAUCUAGAGGCUUGACUGAUAAGGAAAACUCUAUGUCCCCUGCAGUAUCAGACAUGGAUAUGGAAGAUGAUGUAUAUUCCCCUACUAAGCACUAUUCAAAUAAUCAGUUGGUACAAGGUAUAGAAGUGCAGUCAGGCCCGAGUUCCAAUAAGCAUCUCCUAUAUGAAGAGAAGUUGUAUGCUCCUGAAAGUCCAACAGAACACUCGCCAUUCCAGAAGUCCUCCCUUCAGGUGGAAGCAUUAGGAGCAUCAUCAAGAUUGAAACAAGAAAAAGGCGACCAAUUUUUUUCUCCUGGACCAGAUUUUGAUGACGUUAGCUCUGAUGGGGAUUCACCUCGAGCCACUGAUGAAAACCUCAGUGGAAGUGUUCAUGAGUCUACCAGGCCAGUUUCUGAACAUCCUACUCUACCAAGAGUCCGUGAGUCGAAAUCAUCUAUUGAAGAGGUGACCUCGUUUAGGCUGUUGACAGAAUAUGCCUCUGAUGACAGCAGCGAUGAAGACAUUAAACCUAGAAUGAAUCCUGGCAAUGUUUCCCCAAAAGUCAUUGGAACCCCUAAGGAACACCAGAAUUCCAAUAGUUCUUGUCUGCAGCCGCCCUCAAAAUCCAAUUCUGGAGAAGUUUCUGAGGCUAAGGUUGUUUGUACUUCUGGAAUACAGCCUACUCAGCCUGGUGUCUCUGCCUUCCCCUCCAAAUUUAAUAGCAAUCAAAGAGAUACUGAAGGCUUUGAAUGCUCGAUAGCAGAAAAAGUAGGAGACCAUCCCACUGUUGACAGUUCUGAGCCUCUGAAAGGAUUGAAGAGCAAAGAACUGUCUUCCUUUCAUGAAGAGGUUGCAAAGGAUGCCAUUGCUGUGCAAGCUGAUGAUGCUAAAAUUGAAUUUGACUCUUCUUCUGGAGACAGGUCCCAUCAGGACAACGAUCCACAGCAUGUUCCUACUACUGUGAAUGUGGAUGAGUUUGGGAGACUGAUAAGAGAAGGCAUGAGCGAUAGUGAGUCUGAUGGAGAAGGUCCUUAUAGUGGAAGGCGGGGAAGGAGGAGGAGGAGUCAUAGCCGCAGCCGAUCACCUAAGGAAGGCAGAUGGAGGAGGAGAAGUCGCAGCCCAAGGAGGUGGAGGGACAAAAGGAGCCGUUCACGCAGCUGGUCUCCAAAGAAGCAAAGGAACAGAAGUAAGUCUCCAUCUGCAAGGCGUCUGGGAAACCUUGGUGGUGAAAAGACGUGGAGAGAUAGGGGUCAAGCACCUGUGUGUUUCAAUUUUAUUCGUGGUAGGUGCUUCCGUGGUGCAUCGUGUAGGUUCCUUCAUCGUGACUCUGCAGCUGAUGACUCUUCGAAACGGUACAAUAGCAAAGGGUAUCAACAUUAUGAGAAACAUCAAGAGACAAGGGAUUUUGCUGGACAUGGUAAUACUUGGGUUAAAAUGGACAUACAGGAGGCUAAACAUUUUGAUACAAGGAUACCCUCUGUUGAAUAUGAUGCAGCAUUUAGUAAGAAAGAUAAUGAUAAAGAGGGAAGUGUCUGUGGAGACAUGCCAUCAGGUGCUGUUAUGUCACUAUCAGCAACACCCACUUUAUGUGCUGACUCAGCAAAAGAGGAUGUUCCUCUACCUGCAAAUGAAGAUGAUCAGUUGACAAAUGUUGAUGCUGCCCGGAGUAUGGAUCAGCCUCCAGUUUCUCAGGGGUUGGAAGAUUCAGAAAGAACACAGGUGUCUGUGGAAGGGAAUAUCCCUUCACCGAAAGAAAAAAGCCCUCAACGUUUUGAUAGAAGCUCUGUCUUGUCAGCUUCCUUGGUUGGCAUUUCUUUUUCACAGCCUACGCCUGUUUCUGGGCAGAGAAGCAUACCUGCUGAAUCACAGAUGAGUGCGCCACCUAAUCCACCUGAGAGUCCAGCAAAGCAUUCUCCCAAAGUUGAAGACAAAUCUUAUGAACCAGCAAAUGCUGAAACUGUGGUAUCUUGCCUUCCAUCUACACAGGAUUUGAUGCCAAAACCUUAUCCUGCUCAAGUUUCUCCCAGCUCAUCUUUUGCUAAGGAGGCUAAUACAACAGAAUCAUUUCCUGGUCAUUCUCCUGUCAGUCAGUCAGUUGGGACUGAGAGUCUUGGGCCUGAGCUAUUCCCUAAAAGAGAUCUUCAUUUAUCUUCCUGUUCAGAUGAUCCAAAAUUUCAUACUUCUGUGGCCGUGACAUCCCAAGCUUUUGCUACAGGGUCUUUAAGCCUGCAGCUUCCACCCGCCCCAGCUAGUCAGUACCAGUUUCCACCACUGUCACAAGCACCAGCAUCUUUUCUGCCACAAUCUCUUCAACAAAGGCUUCCCAUCUAUCCUGGUGAUGCAAGGCCGUUGCCUUCAACUUUUCCUAGGCCACCUCAGAGUGACCUUUCCUUACCAACAUAUGUGAACGAGUUACCUCCUAGAGCCACUGUCCAGGCCCCUGAUUUUCGACCUCCUUAUCACCAAGCUGCUGGACUUUCAAGGAAGGAAUUUCUUUUGCCGCCACUAGGGAGGCCAUACCCGUCUGAAGAACCAAUGCAGCUCCAGCAGCUUGAUCUCUAUCUGCAGGCACCACAUCCAUUUGGUGAGCCUCAUAGGCCACUGCUGCAGACAGAAGACAUGCAGCAUCAGAUAUUUCCUUUGGAGAAAGCAAGAGAUCAAUCACUUGGGAGCGAAAUAAAUGUCUCAAAAAAUAUACAACACGAUCGAGUUCUGCAUCCAAUGGAUUCUGAAAGCUUCCUGACGCAACCUGGUCCUCGCCAACAUUUUCAUCCAAACAAAGAUCCCUUUCAUGAUGACCUGUUUCAAAGGGCUGGUCCUCAAUUGCCAGGGCAAAGUUUCAAUUUGCCUGGUUCUAUCAGUCAGGCCAACUUCCGUCAUCCAUUUGUUUCUCGAGAUUCACAUUUACCUUUUGAUACUUAUUCUAGAGAAGGGGAUUCAUGGCAUCCAAGAGGUCAUUCUGGUCUGCAGUUGCACAAUUUACCAAAAGAAGAAAUUCCACCUAGAGCCUUUACAAGAGAAGGUGUUGAAGGUUGUUCGUCUUUCAGAGAUUUGUCCAAUUUUCAGCAGCCAUCAGUUGCUAGCAGCUUCUCAUUGCUUCAGGUUGGUGGUGCUUCUGUAUUAUCAGCACCUAUGAGUAGUACGAAACCUCUGGCUUUUGCAGGACAUUCAGAGAGUUUCCGACCAAGCACUAGGUCGUCUCUUCUGUCAGGUAUUGGGUCAUCACAGGUGCCAACAACUCAUUACAAUCCAUUUGCAUCUACAUUUGAGGAGAAGCCAAGCAAAUUCCAACCUCAGUUUGAUUUAAGCCAUUUAUCUAUUGGCGGACAAAUGGGUGGUAGUCUUGGGUCAAGACCUCUGAGCAUGCAAUCAGCAUCAGGGGACCAGUAUGAUCCACUUUUUGACAGCAUUGAACCUUCUAAAAGAGACACAAGCAAGUACAGUAAUAUUCCAGAUCUUCAAGCAAGCGUGAAUGCUGUCACAAUGUCUGCUGCUGCUCGAGCUUCUCUGGAACCAGAUUUUGUUUCUCGGCUUGGCAGCAACAGCCAUAAGCUUUUGGAUGUGGAAGAAAACAAUAAACAAAAGGGUAUUGAAGCUACCAUAAUCAAGCCACCUGAGAAUGAUGAAUUUGGAGAAGCUACAUUGGAUGCAGAGGUAGGUGCUGUGGAGAAUGCUAGCCCAAGGCUUGGGGACGAGAACUGGAGCCCUGGUAACCCAAUAGACAUGGCAAAUACAGGUGCAGGUGAGAUAGAGAUUGAUCAAGUCCAGACACCUGGCAAGAGCAAAAAGAGCAAGGAUUCUCGUUCAAUGAAGCUUUUUAAGAUAGCCAUUGCAGAGUUUGUCAAGGAUGUGCUGAAGCCAUCAUGGCGACAGGGAAACAUGAGCAAAGAAGCAUUCAAAACGAUUGUAAAAAAGACUGUUGAUAAGGUGUCUGGAGCAAUGAAAAGCCAUCAGAUUCCAAAAUCAAAAACUAAGAUUGAUCAGUAUGUUGAGUCGUCACAACGCAAGUUGACAAAACUGGUCAUGGGUUAUGUGGACAAAUAUGUGAAAGCAUGAAUGGUGGCGUUGUCUGCCAGAGUUCUUGUGGGAGAUGGUUAUAUGCAGACAGAUUGAGGAGAACCGGGACAGUCAAACUGCAUGGUUGUAUUCUUCUCUAGAUAGUGUCUUCACUUUCAGGAAUAUGAAAGACAUAUGGAAUAACCAACAUUGCUAGGAGGAUGCUUAGGAUGCUUCUGAAACAUGCAUGUAAGAGGUAUCUCCCGUAAAUUUAAGUUUUGGUGUAAUGUAGGACAGGGACUGUAUUUGUCGUCGGUGAAGAAGUAUAAUUAUGAAGCAAAGAUUGACCGUAUAAGAUUUUACAUUUUUUCUCUUUGAGGAACAUUCAAAGGAAGUCCUAGAGGAUUGUUAUCAUUUGUUUUCGAAGGACAAGAAUCAUUUGUAGGCGAUGUUGGCAUCAGAAUAUAGGUAAAUUAUGUAGAUAAAAUGAGUGUAAGUACAAAAGAAUGAAAGGUCACAACUGGAUUGUAAAUUCCAAGUGUUUAGGCAAGGAUGGUUACUAGCAUAACUAUAUGAUGGCUGCAAAUCUCUUGCCUCUUUAACUGAGUAGGAGAAGAUGAAAGAUGAAGACGUGACUUUCAUAGAGGAGCAAUGUCCUCAAUGCAUAGGCAUGAUCGGGACAAUGAAAUCCUUGCACUGGUGCUGUUGUGACUUUUGUGCAAAUGUACUUGAAGUAAAGAGUUUUUGUCCCUAGUAAGACUUGGUUUGAUUGAUGAACAGGACUACCUUUGACAAUUAAGCAACAGUUCAUUCAAGGCAAUCUUUUCUGCAAGAGGCAGCUUUAAUUCAGGCGAACCUGUCUUGUAGGAGAUACCGUCCGUGUCUUUAGAUCAAGACCAUUGGCCUGGGACUGUUGUGGAGGCCGGCCAUUUUUCAUCAUUUUCCUGCGCCAAGCUCUACGGUUGUGAUCUACAUGAUACAUUUGGUGGACUUUCAAUUGUGAAGGAAACCUGUGACUAAUUUUCACAGGUUUUUCAAAAGUUGAUGGCCCAUCAUGACUUGUAAACUCAUUCUUAUAUUAGAAAUGUUCAUCGCCAACGAAACAUCAGACUUGGCACAAAAGUGCACGAUCUUUCUUCCUUACCCAUGAACCGCAAGACUUCAGGUGGAUCGUUUCUUGCGGUCUGCGGGGAACAUGGGAAGUGGGAACCGUUAAGCCCCAUACUGCAUCUGUAAAUAACGUAGAUGUUUCGAUCUUAAGUCCCAUCCUGGUUUAAAUUUUGUAUGUAAAACACUGCGAAUCAUGCUGAUUCAAAUAAGUUGAUUUGAA